GAAUGAUGCCCAUGCACAGCUGAAAUACAAAUUCUCAUUUUAUAGCAUUUGCCCCAUUCACCCCCAAGGAUUCUUACAUUGUUUAGCACUCUGCCCCCAGUGUUCAAGCAUGGGUAGUGAGAUCUUCAUUGGGAAAUCAACAGAGGUUUAAGCUCUUGAUGACCCUCUCAAGGUCCUGUCUCCAACCAGACCUGACCCUGAGUGUGCUGAAUCAAGCAAUUUAAGAGGUCAUUUAUUUCCCAUCAACUGCCACUCAUUUUAUAUUAUUAUUCCAGAAAUGUCUGCUGAUAUUUUUUUUCCAUUUCACAAAUCCUCCAAGCGAUAUUGGACUAUUUGCUCUUAGCUCAUCCAUUACAUGAAGCGAGUUCCUACAACGAUGGGAACUUUGUGGUUGAGGGGAGCGAGGACAUCAGACUGCAUCCUGACAGGACAACAGGCCAUAUUAUGGUGUAUGGGAGCCAUGUUGCUCUCUGGCGCUCAGACACAGUUCCUCUUUUACUUUUUCCAACUCAUCAUCUCCCGAUGUCAUGGCAUGUACAGUUUUUCUCUUGAAACGGUUUUGUGGAACGGCUGGUUUAAUGGACCAUGGGGGUCUUUGACAGUUGGGGAUGCAGAACUUACAGCAUUCGGUUCUACUGUUGGAUUGUGAAUGUUUUACAAACAACAUCUUUGUCAGAGUACAGCUUAUGUGUUGGAUCUUUGUACCACGCAGUAUACUGUAUUUCACGUUUGUAACAUUGUGUGUGUGUUAUUAUUAGAGAUAAUUUCACCUGCCUGAUCAAAUGGCAACCUUAUGUAGGUAAAUUCAGCAAAAUCUUUGAAGAUUUAAUUUAUUGGUGUUCGAUUGCAUUUUUCUGUAAAGUUUGCUUGGAUUUUGUUGGAUCCUCUGCUCUGUACCC
ensembl:lncRNA